rnacentral:lncRNA from 1 species
AUUGGAACGAAAGCAAACCAUGCAUAGUAGCAUUAGCAAUAAUAUCAGGAGGAAUGGCUUUGGAAUCAUCUUUUGUUUUAAUAAAGAAUUUUAAUUUCAUUAAUCAAUUAAAUUGUAAGAAUUUGUUUAAAGUAAUGAUUUUAUCUUAUUCUACACAAUUUCUGAUCUCCAAUUUAUAUCCUGUUAUAUUUUUCAUGCAUGCUAGUUUUUCAAAUUAUUUAAAAAAUUUUGUAUUUAAAAAAUUUCAUUGUUCAUAUUUCCAGUUAUCAGUUUAACUGCAUAAUUGAUUGAUUUUUUUCUUUAUUCUUAAAGCCAACAGUAAGAUAAAUUUUCAUAUUAAAUUGAUAGAUGUUCACUGUUGGCUUAAAAUUAUAUGAUAGAUGUAUUUAUCAGUAACAUAAGAUUGUAAAUUUUUUAUAUCUUUCAAAAGUUUCUGUAGCAUUUAAAUGAAAUGUGUGUAAAAUUUUUUGUAUGUAGAUUUGCAGUAUUAUUCCAAUUGAAAUUAUAUCAAAAAAUGCUAAGCCUAAGAAAUUUAAUUGUUUAAACAAGAAAGCUAUUUUGCGUGUAUUAGAUUUCAAUAAAAUAAUUAUCACAAUAAAAUCAAUAAUUAAUGUAUUAUACACAAUCAUUAAUUGCAAAUUUUUAUCUUAGUUUUGUGAAUAAUUUAUUGGAAUCAAAACUUUUAAAGAUAAAAAUAAAUAAAUAAAAUUACAUAAAUUAAUACUUAAACAGGUAAGAAAUAAUUCUUUAUUAAUGGAAACAAUUCAAUACUCUCCUCACUGGUCCUGUUCAGACCAGCUGAAGAGACUGAGUAUCACACUGAAAAUGCUUCCAUUAAUGGAAAAUUAUUUUUCAUCUGCUAAAAUGCUGUUUUUUAUAUGAAUUUCUUAUCUAAGAAUGGAAAAGCAGUAAUAUGGAGACAGUUGAACAGAUCAAGUAUUUGUCAUAAAUUAAUAAAAACUUAAUUUUUAAAGUGUCACAAUGCUUUGUUUCUUUAUUAUCAUAUUAAAUUAAAUUUGACACUCAGCAGAUAGGAUAUUCAAAACUAGUUUAAAAGUUACUGCUUGUCAAAAUUAUCAUGUUACAAAAUGCACUUUUAAUGCUUUAAUAUAUAUAAAUAAAAUGAUGAGGAUUUAAGAUUUAAAAAUCACAUUUUAUGAAUUUUCACCUCUUAUAAAUUUUCAAGGAAAACAUUAAUAUUGUAAUAGGAAGGAUAUCUUUAAUUUCUUCUAGAGAAAAAAUAAAAUUAUUAUUGUUAAUUUAUUUUAACAAUAAUUUCUAACCAAAACUAAUAGAUGAGUAAUAAAAUAGGUUUAUACUAAAUUAAUAAAAUUUGCAAUUUAAUUAAUUUUAACUUUGGUAAAAUAAGUUUUACCAAAGUUCAUUCCCAAUUAAACCAAGGGUUAUCAAAAUAAUGAUACAUUAUUUUAGUUUAAUAGGAUAAUUUAUAGGUUGAUUAUCCCCAAUCUGAAAUAUUCUGAAAUUCAUAGUUUUGCUUUCAGAACAGAAUUCUUUGGGAUAGGAUUAUGACUCACUGUUUAUGCCAUGAAAGAUGCCACAUGAUCAUAAUAGUGCACCAUAUUAUAUGUGCACAAUAUAGACAUAAGUCAUGGUGCACUAUUGUGAUUUAGUAAACUAUGAAAUAUUAUCAAUACAAGAUAUCUGUGAUUAUUUUUUUUUGUUGUGAUGUUUAUAUAUUAUUAAAACUUCAAAAAAGUUUGGUAGUGAAUUUUUUCAACUACUUUUCAACUCCAUCAUAUUAUAUAUUCAAAAAUUCAGAAAAAUCUGAAAUAUUCUCUAUCCCAAGCAUUUUGGAUUGGAGAUACUUAACCUAUAUACAUUUUAUAAAUUAAUUUGCUAAAACUGAUUUCUAAAUUAUUAAAAUAUUUCAGUUAAAAUUUUUUAUCAUCUAUACUUGUUUUUGAUGAUGAUCAAAUAAUUUAAAAAUCAUACUUUACUUAUUAAUAAUUUUUCCAUAAUGCUUGGAAAAUUAAUGUAUUUUGUAGUUUCUAUAGCAUGUAAUGAUAUUUGUGUUUUUGGAUUUUAACAAUUACGGUAAAUUGUGGACUAAGACAAAAUUAUUUUUUUCAGAUAAAAAAAAAUAAUUAAAAAAUUCAAUCCUGAUUUUACUCAAUGUAGCUCUCACAGAGUGGUUUUUUGCAUUUAUUGGGUGAAAAUACUUGCCUCUGAUGGUUGGUCC